GUGCCAGCCGCCGCGGUAAGACGAACCGUGCGAACGUUGUUCGGAUUCACUGGGCUUAAAGGGCGCGUAGGCGGCCGCUCAAGUCGGGGGUGAAAUCCUCUCGCUUAACGAGAGAAUUGCCUUCGAUACUGGGCGGCUGGAGGGAGGUAGGGGUGCGCGGAACUUCCGGUGGAGCGGUGAAAUGCGUAGAUAUCGGAAGGAACGCCGGUGGCGAAAGCGGCGCACUGGACCUCCUCUGACGCUGAGGCGCGAAAGCCAGGGGAGCAAACGGGAUUAGAUACCCCGGUAGUCCUGGCCCUAAACGAUGGGAACUAGGUAGUGGGCUUGCAUGGGCUCACUGCCGAAGCCAAAGUCUUAAGUUCCCCGCCUGGGGAGUAUGGUCGCAAGGCUGAA
rnacentral:rRNA from 1 species